rnacentral:lncRNA from 1 species
GCUAAAUAUAGGGAAAACAGGCAUAAAAUAUCUUUGAUUGAAUUUUCAGAGCAAAAUAAAUGACAGAAGUUGCUCAUUAUUUUAUACUGUAAAGCUUUGAUGUCUCUAUUUUAUAAAAUUGAAAUAAAAUUUGGGGGUCACCGGCCAUCCAAGAGAUUUUUUGACCUCUGAAAAUGAGUGCAAAUAGGCUAAAUAUAGGGAAAACAGGCAUAAAAUAUCUUUGAUUGAAUUUUCAGAGCAAAAUAAAUGACAGAAGUUGCUCAUUUUUUCAUACUGUAAAGCUUGAUGUCUCUAUUUUAUAAAAUUGAAAUAAAAUUUGGGGGUCACCGGCCAUCCAAGAGAUUUUUUGACCUCUGAAAAUGAGUGCAAAUAGGCUAAAUAUAGGGAAAACAGGCAUAAAAAUAUCUUUGAUUGAAUUUUCAGAGCAAAAUAAAUGACAGAAGUUGCUCAUUUUUUCAUACUGUAAAGCUUGAUGUCUCUAUUUUUAUUAAAUUGAAAUACAUUUUGCG